rnacentral:rRNA from 1 species
GGGAAUAUUGCACAAUGGGCGCAAGCCUGAUGCAGCCAUGCCGCGUGAGCGAUGAAGGCCUUCGGGUCGUAAAGUACUUUCAGCGGGGAGGAAGGGAGUAAAGUUAAUACCUUUGCUCAUUGACGUUACCCGCAGAAGAAGCACCGGCUAACUCCGUGCCAGCAGCCGCGGUAAUACGGAGGGUGCAAGCGGUAAUCGGAAUUACUGGGCGUAAAGCGCACGCAGGCGGUUUGUUAAGUCAGAUGUGAAAUCCCCGGGCUCAACCUGGGAACUGCAUCUGAUACUGGCAAGCUUGAGUCUCGUAGAGGGGGGUAGAAUUCCAGGUGUAGCGGUGAAAUGCGUAGAUAUUAGGAGGAACACCAGUGGCGAAGGCGGCCCCCUGGACGAAGACUGACGCUCAGGUGCGAAAGCGUGGGUAGC